AUUGAACGCUGGCGGCAUGCCUUACACAUGCAAGUCGAACGGCAGCACGGGAGCAAUCCUGGUGGCGAGUGGCGAACGGGUGAGUAAUAUAUCGGAACGUGCCCAGUCGUGGGGGAUAACGUAGCGAAAGCUACGCUAAUACCGCAUACGAUCUAUGGAUGAAAGCGGGGGAUCGCAAGACCUCGCGCGAUUGGGAGCGGCCGAUAUCAGAUUAGGUAGUUGGUGAGGUAAAGGCUCACCAAGCCGACGAUCUGUAGCUGGUCUGAGAGGACGACCAGCCACACUGGGACUGAGACACGGCCCAGACUCCUACGGGAGGCAGCAGUGGGGAAUUUUGGACAAUGGGCGCAAGCCUGAUCCAGCAACGCCGCGUGCAGGAUGAAGGCCUUCGGGUUGUAAACUGCUUUGUACGGAACGAAACGGUGAGCUCUAAUACAGUUUGCUAAUGACGGUACCGUAAGAAUAAGCACCGGCUAACUACGUG
rnacentral:rRNA from 1 species